GAUGAACGCUGGCGGCGUGCCUAAUACAUGCAAGUCGAGCGAACGGACGAGAAGCUUGCUUUUCUGAUGUUAGCGGCGGACGGGUGAGUAACACGUGGAUAACCUACCUAUAAGACUGGGAUAACUUCGGGAAACCGGAGCUAAUCCCGGAUAAUAUUUUGCACCGCAUGGUUCAAAAGUGAAAGACGGUCUUGCUGUCACUUAUAGCUGGAUCCGCGCUGCAUUAGCUAGUUGGUAAGGUAACGGCUUACCAAGGCAACGAUGCAUAGCCGACGUGAGAGGGUGAUCGGCCACACGAGAACUGAGACAGGGUCCAGACUCCUACGGGAGGCAGCAGUAGGGAAUCUGACGCAAUGGGCGAGAGCCUGACGGAGCAACGCGGCGUGAGUGAUGAAGGUCUUGGGAUCGUAAAACUGUGUUAUGAGUGAAGAACAUAUGUGUAAGGAACUGUGCAGAGCUUGACGGUACUUGAUCAGAAAGCCACGGCUAACUACGUG
rnacentral:rRNA from 1 species